GACGAACGCUGGCGGCGUGCUUAACACAUGCAAGUCGAACGAAGAGCGAUGGAAGCUUGCUUCUAUCACUCUUAGUGGCGAACGGGUGAGUAACGCGUAAUCAACCUGCCCUUCAGAGGGAGACAACAGUUGGAAACGACUGCUAAUACCGCAUACGAUCUAAUCUCGGCAUCGAGGAAAGAUGAAAGGUGGCCUCUAUUUAUAAGCUAUCACUGAAGGAGGGGAUUGCGUCUGAUUAGCUAGUUGGAGGGGUAACGGCCCACCAAGGCGAUGAUCAGUAGCCGGUCUGAGAGGAUGAACGGCCACAAUGGGACUGAGACACGGCCCAGACUCCUACGGGAGGCAGCAGUGGGGAAUCUUCCGCAAUGGACGAAAGUCUGACGGGGCAACGCCGCGUGAGUGAUGACGGCCUUCGGGUUGUAAAGCUCGGUUAAUCGGGACGAAAGGCCUUCUUGCGAACAGUUAGAAGGAUUGACGGUACCGGAAGAGAAAGCCACGGCUAACUACGUG
rnacentral:rRNA from 1 species